rnacentral:misc_RNA from 1 species
GAUGAAGAACGUAUCGAAAUGCGAUAAGUAGUGUGAAUUGCAGAAUUCAGUGAAUCAUCGAAUCUUUGAACGCACAUUGCGCCCCUUGGUAUCCCGAGGGGCAUGCCUGUUCGAGCGUCAUUUCACCACUCAAGCCUGGCUUGGUGUUGGGCGACGUCCCCUUUGGGGACGCGCCUCGAAACGCUCGGCGGCGUGGCACCGGCUUUAAGCGUAGCAGAAUCUUUCGCUUUGGAAGUCGGGGCCCCGUCUGCCGGAAGACCUACUCGCAAGGUUGACCUCGGAUCAGGCAGGGAUACCCGCUGAACUUAUGCAUAUCAAUAAGCGGAGGA